rnacentral:rRNA from 1 species
AUCAACUUUCGAUGGUAGGAUAGAGGCCUACCAUGGUGGUAACGGGUAACGGGGUGUUAGGGCACGACACCGGAGAGGGAGCCUGAGAAACGGCUACCACAUCCAAGGAUGGCAGCAGGCGCGCAAAUUACCCAAUCCCGACACGGGGAGGUAGUGACAAUAAAUAACAAUACGGGGUUCUUUAGGAUCUCGUAAUUGGAAUGAGUACAAUUUAAAUCUCUUAACGAGGAACAAUUGGAGGGCAAGUCUGGUGCCAGCAGCCGCGGUAAUUCCAGCUCCAAUAGCGUAUAUUAAAGUUGUUGCAGUUAAAAAGCUCGUAGUUGAAUUUCGGGGUUAGUAGGUUGGUCAUGCCUCUGGUAUGUACUGGUCUCACUGAUUCCUCCUUCCUGAUGAACCGUAAUGCCAUUAAUUUGGUGUUGCGGGGAAUUUGGACUGUUACUUUGAAAAAAUUAGAGUAUUUAAAGCAAGCUAACGCUUGAAUACAUUAGCAUGGAAUAAUGAAAUAGGACGUUCGAUCCUAUUUUGUUGGUUUCUAGGAUUGACGUAAUGAUUAAUAGGGAUAGUUGGGGGCAUUAGUAUUCAAUUGUCAGAGGUGAAAUUCUUGGAUUUAUUGAAGACUAACUACUGCGAAAGCAUUUGCCAAGGAUGUUUUCAUUAAUCAAGAACGAAAGUUAGGGGAUCGAAGACGAUCAGAUACCGUCGUAGUCUUAACCAUAAACUAUGCCGACUAGGGAUCGGAUGAUGUUAAUUUUUUAAUGACUCAUUCGGCGCCUUGCGGGAAACCAAAGUGUUUGGGUUC